AGGGUUUGAUCAUGGCUCAGGAUGAACGCUAGCGGCAGGCCUAACACAUGCAAGUCGAGGGGUAACAGGGAAAAGCUUGCUUUUCCGCUGACGACCGGCGCACGGGUGCGUAACGCGUAUGCAACCUACCUUUUACAGGAGUAUAGCCCAGAGAAAUUUGGAUUAAUCCUCCAUAAUAUCUUUUUCAUGCAUAUGAUAAAGAUUAAAGCUUCGGCGGUAAAAGAUGGGCAUGCGUUUUAUUAGCUAGUAGGUGAGGUAACGGCUCACCUAGGCCACGAUAAAUAGGGGCCCUGAGAGGGGGAUCCCCCACACUGGUACUGAGACACGGACCAGACUCCUACGGGAGGCAGCAGUGAGGAAUAUUGGACAAUGGACGAAAGUCUGAUCCAGCCAUGCCGCGUGCAGGAUGACGGCCCUAUGGGUUGUAAACUGCUUUUAUACAGGAAGAAACACCCCCACGUGUGGGGGUUUGACGGUACUGUACGAAUAAGGAUCGGCUAACUCCGUGCCAGCCGCCGCGGUAAUAC
rnacentral:rRNA from 1 species